GACGUAGGGCGCGAGCGUUGUCCGGAUUUAUUGGGCGUAAAGAGCUCGUAGGCGGCUUGUUGCGUCGGCUGUGAAAUCCCAUGGCUCAACUGUGGGCUUGCAGCCGAUACGGGCGGGCUAGAGUUCGGUAGGGGAGACUGGAAUUCCUGGUGUAGCGGUGAAAUGCGCAGAUAUCAGGAGGAACACCGGUGGCGAAGGCAGGUCUCUGGGCCACUACUGACGCUGAGAAGCGAAAGCAUGGGGAGCGAACAGG
rnacentral:rRNA from 1 species